rnacentral:rRNA from 1 species
GAUGAACGCUGGCGGCGUGCCUAAUACAUGCAAGUCGAGCGAACAGACGAGGAGCUUGCUCCUCUGACGUUAGCGGCGGACGGGUGAGUAACACGUGGAUAACCCACCUAUAAGACUGGGAUAACUUCGGGAAACCGGAGCUAAUACCGGAUAAUAUAUUGAACCGCAUGGUUCAAUAGUGAAAGACGGUUUUGCUGUCACUUAUAGAUGGAUCCGCGCCGCAUUAGCUAGUUGGUAAGGUAACGGCUUACCAAGGCAACGAUGCGCAGCCGACCUGAGAGGGUGAUCGGCCACACUGGAACUGAGACACGGUCCAGACUCCUACGGGAGGCAGCAGUAGGGAAUCUUCCGCAAUGGGCGAAAGCCUGACGGAGCAACGCCGCGUGAGUGAUGAAGGUCUUCGGAUCGUAAAACUCUGUUAUUAGGGAAGAACAAAUGUGUAAGUAACUAUGCACGUCUUGACGGUACCUAAUCAGAAAGCCACGGCUAACUACGUG